GUGCCCCUUUAAGGUUGGUGCUGUAUUUAAAAGGCUAACACACAAGGGUAAAGGAACUCUCUAUAAAACCCAGGUAGGAGACUGUAUGCUUCCUCUUUGGAUCCCGUGUAGGAGAAAAAAAA